GUAGGGAAUAUUGCACAAUGGGCGCAAGCCUGAUGCAGCAACGCCGCGUGCGCGAUGAAGGCCUUCGGGUCGUAAAGCGCUUUUCGAGGAGAUGAGCAAGGACAGUAUCCUCGGAAUAAGGAUCGGCUAACUACGUGCCAGCAGCCGCGGUAAAACGUAGGAUCCGAGCGUUAUCCGAAUUCACUGGGCGUAAAGCGCGUGCAGGCGGCUCGGUAAGUUGGAUGUGAAAUCUCCUGGCUCAACUGGGAGAGGACGUUCAAGACUGUCGGGCUAGAGGACGGUAGAGGGAGGUGGAAUUCCCGGUGUAGUGGUGAAAUGCGUAGAUAUCGGGAGGAACACCAGUGGCGAAGGCGGCCUCCUGGGCCGUUCCUGACGCUCAGACGCGAAAGCUAGGGGAGCGAACGGGAUUAGAAACCCCAGUAGUCC
rnacentral:rRNA from 1 species